AACGAACGCUGGCGGCAUGCCUAACACAUGCAAGUCGAACGAGACCAUCGGGUCUAGUGGCGCACGGGUGCGUAACGCGUGGGAACCUGCCCUUAGGCUCGGAAUAACUCCCUGAAAGGGGUGCUAAUACCGGAUAAUGUCUUCGGACCAAAGAUUUAUCGCCUUUGGAUGGGCCCGCGUUGGAUUAGCUAGUCGGUAGGGUAAAAGCCUACCAAGGCGACGAUCCAUAGCUGGUCUGAGAGGAUGAUCAGCCACACUGGGACUGAGACACGGCCCAGACUCCUACGGGAGGCAGCAGUGGGGAAUAUUGGACAAUGGGCGAAAGCCUGAUCCAGCAAUGCCGCGUGAGUGAUGAAGGCCUUAGGGUUGUAAAGCUCUUUUACCCGGGAUGAUAAUGACAGUACCGGGAGAAUAAGCUCCGGCUAACUCCGUG
rnacentral:rRNA from 1 species